UACGUAGGGGGCUAGCGUUGUCCGGAAUCAUUGGGCGUAAAGAGCGUGUAGGCGGCCCGGUAAGUCCGCUGUAAAAGUCAAAGGCUCAACCUUUGAAUGUCAGUGGAUACUGCCGGGCUAGAGUCCGGAAGAGGCGAGUGGAACUCCUGGUGUAGCGGUGGAAUGCGCAGAUAUCAGGAAGAACACCAACGGCGAAAGCACUCUGCUGGGCCGACACUGACACUGAGAGACGAAAGCUAGGGGAGCAAAUGGG
rnacentral:rRNA from 1 species